CAGGCAAACAAGACUCUGCUUGCUCACACAGCCAUGACAAGAAUAAAUUCAGGUGCUGAGACUACAAGGGUAUGCUGUCACACCCAGAUACCCUGCUUGUUUCAGAGGUGGAUAAAUGUCAAGACUUCCAAAUCCAGGACAAAUGGACCAACUCUUAGGGGCAAACCCUUUUGUAGGACCCUUUUGGUCAGCACAGUUCUCUCCUUUCACUGAUCUGAGCUGUUGUCAUCAGUUACCUCCAUUUGGGGUGGGACAGCAGCACAGAGGGGAGGGGGUUAAGGGCUGUGGUAGAUUGAAGACCUUUGUGACCAUCAACCAUUCACAGUUGAAUCAGAAGUAAUACAUAUGUGCUCAACUGCAACAUAAGACUGACAAGACCCUCGGGACAAACAGAAUCCUUCCAUCUUGGAGAGGAGUGGGAAGAGGGCUUGAGGCUAGCCCUUGAAGGCUGGUGAGGUUUUGGAAGGCAUUGAGGGGGUCCUGGGGGAGUUCAAGCAAGAGCAGAGGCCCUUUGUCCCAGAGUAGUGAGCAGACGAGUUCCUCAGAACUGCGUGUGUCCUCAACUACAUGGAUGUGCUUUCUCUGUAAAAAGAGUUGAAAAGCCUGAAGCUUAUGGAUGGAAAGGUCAGUGUCCCAAAUUCUAUAAUGUUCUAUUUCGACUGUACUGCUGAAUUUUAUAUAUUAUCCAGUGGCCUUCUAGACCCUAAAGUCAUAUAAUACAGUCAUAAUUUCUUUUGGAGAACAUGUUGCAGUUUACAAAUUACUUUUUUAUACCCAUUAUUACAUUUGCUCCAUAUAACAGCCCUGUGCCAUCCCACACGCAUCCCCACAAGCUCUUCUUCCCUUUGACAGCAACUGCUGGUUAUAAACGUACCCACCAGAGAAAGCAGAACUUUCCACAGCAGCUGGGUUGCACUAGAAGCACGAGCCUGUUGAAACUAACAAUUCAGGAGAAGUGGAAGGAGAGGACCCAAUACAGACAGACAGACACUGGGGAUUCCCGGAGGCUGAGAUGGUAGCUUUGAGAACAGACAGAUGUAGAAGGGGACAAAUGCAGGCAGAAAGCAAAUCUUCAGUGUAGUGCAGGUUCAUAGUAGGCACACACUGAGAGCUCAUCUCAGCUACCAGUAGGGCUUGAACAGA